AUAUUUGGAGGGAGCUGAAAGUCCGUAUUGCCCAGUGACAGCCCCGAAACCUGAAGGAUCUGGAGAAGGCUACGCUGCCGCCCCGGCCAGAGGAAGAGCUGUCAUUCAUUGAAGAUGCAACUAAAGAGAGUCCAGCUACAGAAUAGUCUAAAUACCAGGACCACUGAGAGAGACCAGUUACAGAACAGUCUAAAUACCAGGACCACAGAAAGAGACCAGUUACAGAACAGCCUAAAUACCAGGACCACCGAGAGAGACCAGCUACAGAAUAGCCUAUAUUCCAGGACCACAGAGAGAGACCAGC
rnacentral:lncRNA from 1 species